rnacentral:lncRNA from 1 species
CUUGGUUAGAAAGGCACUCCCUACCGCCCCGCCUCCGGAAAACCGGUAUUAGAUCUGCUUCGCACUAUCCAUUAAAAUGCUCGCUUUUUUUUAUCUAUUCCUAAGUUUCCAUGAGCUUGACUAAUGUAAGUCUUCCUGACAAAUUAGGUUUCUGGGUCAGUAAGCUGUCUUAGUAUGUUUGGGCGGCAGACUGGGUGGCUUAUAAACAACAAACUUCUCACAGUUCAGGAGUCUGGGAAGUCCAAGAUCAAGGCUCCAGCAGGUUUGUUGUCUGAAAUUGUGCAGACUAAUUCAAGGAUGGAAAAUGCAUAGCACUUGUGCUACCACUCUACCUGCACAUCCCUGUGGCACAUAUUGACAGUUGAUAGCAAACUCAUUCUCAUUCAGCCUGAACUCAGCCUCCGAUUCCUUCUUAACACAGAAUUCCAGGCAUUCACUAUCAAUCAGUUGUAGUUGUCACAAAGUGGACAUAUUUGAAAUAAAUGCUUUUAGGAAAAAUGUCACAGAAUAAUAUGGUUCUAGAGUUGGUGAAUAAGGAAGAAAUUUUUGUCUCUCUCUGCAAAAUAAAAAUAUCUUUUGGGAAUUGUUCUAAGGUAAUUAGUUGUGUGAAGUCGAUUAUGUUUAUAGUCUUAAAAAGUAUAUUUUCCUAUGCUUUUUUUACCUUAAAAUCCAAAUUAUCAAAGUAGAUUCAUUUCUUUUUUCUUUUUUAAAUUGGCACCUGAGCUAACAACUGUUGCCCAUCUUCUUUUUUUUUUCCCUGCUUUUUU